CCUACGGGAGGCUGCAGUGAGGAAUAUUGGUCAAUGGACGAGAGUCUGAACCAGCCAAGUAGCGUGAAGGAUGACUGCCCUAUGGGUUGUAAACUUCUUUUAUAUGGGAAUAAAAUGUUCCACGUGUGGGAUUUUGUAUGUACCAUAUGAAUAAGGAUCGGCUAACUCCGUGCCAGCAGCCGGGGUAAUACGGAGGAUCCGAGCGUUAUCCGGAUUUAUUGGGGUUAAAGGGAGCGUAGGUGGAUUGUUAAGUCAGUUGUGAAAGUUUGCGGCUCAACCGUAAAAUUGCAGUUGAAACUGGCAUUCUUGAGGACUGUAGAGGUGGGCGGAAUUCGUGGGCUAGCGGUGAAAUGUGU
rnacentral:rRNA from 1 species